UGCCAGCCGCCGCGGUAAUACGAAGGGGGCUAGCGUUGUUCGGAAUCACUGGGCGUAAAGCGUGCGUAGGUGGAUAAGCAAGUUAGAUGUGAAAUCCCGAGGCUCAACCUCGGAACUGCAUUUAAAACUGCCUAUCUAGAGUCCGGUAGGGGGCAGUGGAAUUCCAUGUGUAGCGGUGAAAUGCGUAGAUAUAUGGAGGAACACCAGUGGCGAAGGCGACUGCCUGGGCCGGUACUGACACUAAGGCACGAAAGCGUGGGGAGCAAACAGGAUUAGAUA
rnacentral:rRNA from 1 species